rnacentral:rRNA from 1 species
GACGAACGCUGGCGGCGUGCCUAAUACAUGCAAGUUGAGCGGUGAAGGUUGGUACUUGUACCAAUUGGAGGAGCGGCGGGCGGGUGGGUAACGAGUGGGUAAUCAUCCUUUUAUCGGGGGGGGACAAUUGGGGGAGAAUGCUGCUACCACAUAAAAACUCUAAACAGAAGAUGUAAGGGUGAAUGAUGCAUUUGCAUCCUGCAAAGAUGAUCCGACGUUGUAUUAGCUAGUGGGUGGGGUAAAGGCUCACCAAGGCGAUGGUAGGUAGCCGGACUGGGAGGAGGUUCGGCCAAACGGGAACGGGGAAAGGGUCCAGACUCCUAGGGGAGGCAGAAGAGGGGAAUAUUGGACAAGGGGGGCAAGCCUGAUGCAGCCAGACGGCGUGGGUGAAGAAGGCCUUCGGGUGGUAAAGCCCGUUUGUUGGGAAGGAAGAGCGGCAGGUUGGUACGCCGCUGUUGUGACGGUACCCAAAGAGUAAGCGCCGGCUAACUUCGUG